rnacentral:rRNA from 1 species
UACGAAGGGGGGCUAGCGUUGCUCGAGAUCACUGGGCGUAAAGCGCACGUAGGCGGCUUUCUAAGUCAGGGGUGAAAUCCUGGAGCUCAACUCCAGAACUGCCUUUGAUACUGGAGAGCUUGAGUCCGGAAGAGGUGAGUGGAACUCCGAGUGUAGAGGUGAAAUUCGUAGAUAUUCGGAAGAACACCAGUGGCGAAGGCGGCUCACUGGUCCGGUACUGACGCUGAGGUGCGAAAGCGUGGGGAGCAAACAGG